GACCGCGUAGCUCAGUUGGAAGAGCAUUGGGCUAGUAUUCCAAAGGUCGUAGGUUCGAACGCUACCGUGGCCG
rnacentral:tRNA from 1 species